UACAGGAGGUCUCGAGCGUUGUUCGGAUUCAUUGGGCGUAAAGGGCGCGUAGGCUGCGGGCAAGUCGGGUGUGAAAUCUCAGAGCUCAACUCUGAAACUGCACUCGAUACUGCUUUGCUUGAGGACUGGAGAGGAGAUUGGAAUUCACGGUGUAGCAGUGAAAAUGCCGUAGAUAAUCGAGAGGAACACCCAGUGGCGAAGGCGAGUCUCGUGGAACGACGACCUGACACUGAGCACGAAAGCCAGGGAGCAAACAGG
rnacentral:rRNA from 1 species